GACGAACGCUGGCGGCGCGCCUAACACAUGCAAGUCGUACGGGGCUCUUCGGGGCUCAGUGGCGAACGGGUGCGUAACACGUGAGUGACCUGCCCUCGUGCGGGGGAUAACCCGGGGAAACCCGGGCUAAUACCGCAUGUUCUCGCUUUUCUGAUGGAGGGGUGAGCAAAGGUGCUGAGAGGCACUGUGCGAGGAGGGGCUCGCGGCGUAUCAGGUAGUUGGUGGGGUAAUGGCUCACCAAGCCGAUGACGCGUAGGGGGUCUGAGAGGAUGGCCCCCACCAUGGCAUGCUGAGAUACGGCCCAGACUCCUACGGGGAGGCAGCAGUGGGGAAUCUUGCGCAAUGGCCGAAAGGCUGACGCAGCGACGCCGCGUGCGGGAGGACGCUUUUCGGAGUGUAAACCGCUGUCGGGUGGGACGAAGGUCCCGGGGAGGAAAUGCCCUGGGGAUGACGGUACCACCAGAGGAAGCACCGGCUAACUUCGUGCCAGCAGCCGCGGUAAUACGAAGGGUGCGAGCGUUGUUCGGAAUUAUUGGGCGUAAAGCGCACGUAGGCGGCUUUGUAAGUCUCACUGUGAAAGCCCGGGGCUCAACCCCGGGCAGGCCAGGGGAUACUGCGAGGCUGGAGACAAGCAGAGGUUGGUAGAAUUCCGGGUGUAGCGGUGGAAUGCGUAGAGAUCCGGAGGAAUACC
rnacentral:rRNA from 1 species